rnacentral:rRNA from 1 species
UGGCGGGAGGGUGAGUAAUGUCUGGGAAACUGCCUGAUGGGAGGGGGUAACUACUGGAAACGGUAGCUAAUACCGCAUAACGUCGCAAGACCAAAGAGGGGGACCUUAGGGCCUCUUGCCACCGGAUGUGCCCAGAUGGGAUUAGCUAGUAGGUGGGGUAACGGCUCACCUAGGCGACGAUCCCUAGCUGGUCUGAGAGGAUGACCAGCCACACUGGAACUGAGACACGGUCCAG